CCCUCCUCCUCCCCAUUUUAAACUCCGACGCCGCCGCACCCCUCCUCCAAAUCUCUCAUCCUCCCUCCGAAUCUCGGCGUCUCCAUCCAUCAGCAAGUGAUCCCGUUCCCACCCAUGGCCCUCCGCGCGCUCGACAACACGCUGCCGGCCGCCGUGGCGGACCAGCGCCCCAAGAAGGCCGCCAAGCUGCUCCCCACGGCGCCCGCCGUCGCCGUCGCCCGCUCCCCCACCGGCAGCGGCGGCAACGGCAGGAAGCAGCAGCAGCGCAACGACGAGAACUCGGCGCCGCUGACCAAGCCCGCGUCGCCUGUGGCGGCGGCCGCGGCGGAGCCGGCCGUGGAGUACGUCCGGUCCGAGGACCUGCUGCCCGUGCCGGCGCCCAAGGCCCGCGCCGCCGGCCUCGUGGCGGGGCUCGACUCCAAGGACUGGGUCAAGGUCUGCGAGGCCCUCAACGACGCCCGCCGCCUCGCCAUCCACCACCCGGCCCUCCUCGCCCCCAUCCUGGAGAAGGUGGUGCUGGGGAUCGUGAAGACGAUGAAGAACCCGCGCAGCGCGGUGCUCAAGACCUCCGUCAUGGCCUGCACGGACGUCUUCACGGGCUUCGGCAACCUCAUCUCCUCGGCCUCCGCGGACGCGUUCGACAAGCUGCUGCUGCAGCUGCUGCUCAAGGCGUCGCAGGACAAGCGGUUCGUGUGCGAGGAGGCCGAGAAGGCGAUGCGCGCCAUGGCCACCUCCAUGCCGCCCCUGCCCCUGUUGAGGAAGCUUAAGUCGUACGUCCACCACGCCAACCUCAGGGUCCGCGCCAAGGCCGCCGUCGCCAUGGCGCACUGCGCAGCCAGGAUGGACGUGGAGACGAUGAAGGAGUUCGGCCUGCCGGCGCUGCUGCAGGUGGCGGUGGAGCUGCUGAACGACCGGCUGCCGGAGGCGCGCGAGGCCGCCCGCAGCAUCGUCGGGUCCACGCACGCCGCCUUCUUCUUCUUCAAGGAGGCCGCCGAGAAGGAGCAGGAGCAGAAGGAGAAUGAGCUCAAGGAGGAGCAGGAAGAGGGGAAGGAGAAUGAGAACGACGAGAAGGUGAAGGAGAGUGAGGAAGAGGAGGAGAAGAAGGAAGAGCCGUCGGCCGUGGCGGCAGCGUGGGAGAGCCUGUGCGCGCUGAGCCUGUCGCCCAUCUCGGCGCAGGCCGUGGCCAAGAUCGUCUCCCAUUUCCCGGAACAAAAAAAAUGUGUCGCUCAGCAAAUCCAGCAGCUUUUCACUGCGUCGCCGGAAAAAACUUUGACCCAAUGUUCCAAGAUAGCGUAGCUUCCGUCGAAAACGACGACGAGGAGGGAUAAGAAGAGCUCCGUGUGCGUCCAAUCUUUCAGCCAGCUCCGAUCCAAACGCGUCGCUGUCCGGUGAGCGAGUGGUGAUCCACGCGAGAGUGACCAGCUGGUGCGGUGCUUGCUUGCUUCCAGGAAUCGGAAUCCUCCUCCUCAUCUUCUUCCUCCCCAUAUCCCCUGUCGCCCUCCGCGUUGGCGACGCACGUCUCCUGCUUUGCGUUGUCCUUGAUGGACGGGGGCCAGAGCGUCGCCAAGCGGCACGGCGCGGCCGCGGCCGCCGGCGCCGAGGAGGACCCUGAGCGGCACCGUGCUCUACAUGAGGCGGCGGAUGAUCACGAUGGUGGCGACAAGAAGGCGCCUCGCCGGAGCAGCAGCAGGCGGGUCGCCUCCCUCGACGUCUUCCGUGGCCUCACCGUCGCUCUGAUGAUACUGGUGGACGGCGCCGGCGGCGAGUGGCCGGUCAUCGGGCACGCGCCGUGGCACGGCUGCAACCUCGCCGACUUCGUCAUGCCCUGCUUCCUCUUCAUCGUUGGCAUGGCCAUCCCCCUAUCCCUCAAGAGGAUCCCAGACCGCAGCCGGGCGAUCAGGAGAGUAGUCAUAAGAACACUGAAGCUGCUUUUCUGGGGGAUCUUGCUGCAAGGUGGCUACUCCCAUGCUCCAGAUGAACUCACCUAUGGUGUUGACAUGAAGCACAUAAGAUGGUGUGGUAUCCUCCAGAGGAUUGCCCUUGCAUACUUGGUGGUUGCAGUUAUGGAGAUCGCAACAAAAGACGCGAGGGUUCAGGAUCAGUCAAGUUCAGGCUUCUUCUCAGUUUUCAGGCUGUACCUUUCCCAAUGGAUUGUCGCAUGUUGCAUUCUCCUGAUCUACUUGUCCCUUGUUUACGGGAUUUACGUUCCGGACUGGGAGUUCACGGUGCGAAAUGUCGACAGCCCAAACUAUGGCAAAGUUUUAACAGUGACCUGUGGCACAAGGGGAAAUCUGAGCCCUCCUUGCAAUGCUGUAGGUUACAUCGACCGUAAAGUUCUCGGCAUCAAUCACCUGUACCAGAAACCUGCAUGGAGGAGGCACAGGGACUGUACUGAUGAUUCCCCACACGAGGGGCCUUUCAAAAGGGACGCCCCGGCCUGGUGUGCCUCGCCAUUUGAACCUGAAGGCUUACUAAGCUCAUUUUCUGCGGUGUUAAGUACGAUCAUCGGCGUACACUACGGGCACGUGCUUGUUCAUAUGAAGAGUCACAUGGACAGGCUAAAGCAGUGGGUCACCAUGGGCAUAGCUCUCCUCCUCCUCGGAAUCAUUCUGCACUUCUCUCAUGCGAUUCCUCUGAACAAACAGCUGUACACGCUCAGUUACAUCUGCGUGACCGCCGGCGCCGCUGGCAUCGUCUUCUCCAUGCUUUACUUCCUUGUCGACGUCGUGAGCCUGCGUUAUGUCUUCGCACCACUGCGGUGGGUCGGCAUGAACGCGAUGCUGGUGUACGUGAUGGCGGCGGCCGGCAUCUUCGAGGGUUUCCUCAACGGCUGGUACUACGACGGGACCAACAACACGCUGGUUUACUGGGUGAGGAAGCACGUGUUCGUCCGGGUGUGGCACUCGGAGAGGGUGGGCAUCCUCCUCUACGUCCUCGUCUCGCAGAUCCUGCUCUGGGCGCUCCUCGCCGGCCUCCUCCACCGGGCCGGGGUCUACUGGAAGCUGUAGCGAGCCAGGAAGACAUCGGUGUCACUGUUUGCUUGUGUGUGUUGGAACUUAGAAUUGUGUAGCAUCUGCGUAAGAAGACAAGAAACGAGAAGAAAAGAUUGAAGGCUCACUGACUGCCCAUUAUGUGGCGAGCAGAUGCAGAGCACACCUACCAGCGGGAGUGGGAGAUCAAAGUCAUCGACUGCCCAUUACUUGCUAUAACAA